UAAAAAUGUAAAAUUUUAACUAAAAAAUUAAUAGUUAAGUUCUUUAAAUUUAAAAAAUUUGGCGGUAUUUUAGUCUAUUCAGAGGAACCUGUUCUAUAAUUGAUAAUCCACGAUUAGAAAUACUUAAUUUAGAAGUUUGUAUAUCGUUGUUUAAAUGAUUUUAUAAGAAAUAAAAUUAUUGAAAAAUUAAAUUAAAUUUAUAAUCAAAUCAAGGUGCAGUUUAUAAUUAAGAAGAAAUGGGUUACAAUAAAAAUUAUUUAUACGGAUUAUAUUAUUAAUUAAUAUUUGAAGGAGGAUUUGAUAGUAAAUAUAUAUAUAUAUAUAUAUUGAUUAAAGCUCUAUAAUAUGU
rnacentral:rRNA from 1 species